rnacentral:rRNA from 1 species
GUUUUCUUCUGUAUAAAAAGAAAGACGUGCCCGAUCCCAUCGGAUCUCAGAAGCUAAGCAGUGUAGGGCCUCGUUAGUACUUGGGUGAGAGACCACCUAGGAAGACCAGGUGCUGUAGGCG